AAACGAUUAGUAUAAUUAAAAUAUUUGAUUUCGACUCAAAAGCAUAUGGUUAAAACCCAUAGUCGUUUU
rnacentral:tRNA from 1 species